GGUCAUGAGUGCCAGCACCAAGCCCCGGCUUGCUGGCCGCCAACCCUCCUCCGCGGUGGGGUGGCCCGGGUGACGACCUGGCCCGUUGCGCGGUGCAACGGGCAAGCGCGGAUC
rnacentral:ncRNA from 2 species